rnacentral:rRNA from 1 species
AGCGCACACGGUGGAUGCCUUGGCGGUCAGAGGCGAUGAAGGACGUGGCAGCCUGCGAAAAGUAUCGGGGAGCUGGCAACAAGCUUUGAUCCGGUAAUGUCCGAAUGGGGAAACCCACCCGCUUGCGGGUAUCCUGCAGUGAAUACAUAGCUGCUGGAAGCGAACCUGGUGAACUGAAAUAUCUAAGUAACCAGAGGAAAAGAAAUCAACCGAGAUUCCGUAAGUAGCGACGAGCGAACGCGGACUAGCCCUUAAGCUGAUUUGGUUCUAGGAAAACGCUCUGGAAAGAGCGGCCAUAGAAGGUGAUAGCCCUGUAUCUGAAAGGGCCAUUUCAGUGAAGACGAGUAGGGCGGGGCACGUGAAACCCUGUCUGAACAUGGGGGGACCAUCCUCCAAGGCUAAAUACUACUGACCGACCGAUAGUGAACCAGUACCGUGAGGGAAAGGCGAAAAGAACCCCGGAGAGGGGAGUGAAAUAGAACCUGAAACCGUGUGCGUACAAGCAGUAGGAGCUCCGCAAGGAGUGACUGCGUACCUUUUGUAUAAUGGGUCAGCGACUUACUGUUCGUGGCAAGCUUAACCGUAUAGGGGAGGCGAAGGGAAACCGAGUCUGAUAAGGGCGCAUAGUCGCGGGCAGUAGACCCGAAACCGGGUGAUCUAGUCAUGCCCAGGGUGAAGGUGCGGUAACACGCACUGGAGGCCCGAACCCACUCCCGUUGCAAAGGUAGGGGAUGAGGUGUGAUUAGGAGUGAAAAGCUAAUCGAACCCGGAGAUAGCUGGUUCUCCUCGAAAGCUAUUUAGGUAGCGCCUCAUAUGUAUCCUCUCGGGGGUAGAGCACUGUUAUGGCUAGGGGGUCAUCGCGACUUACCAAACCAUUGCAAACUCCGAAUACCGAGACGGACUGUAUGGGAGACACACGGCGGGUGCUAACGUCCGUCGUGAAAAGGGAAACAACCCAGACCCACAGCUAAGGUCCCAAAUUUUGUGCUAAGUGGAAAACCAUGUGGAAAGGCACAGACAGCCAGGAGGUUGGCUUAGAAGCAGCCACCCUUUAAAGAAAGCGUAAUAGCUCACUGGUCGAGUCGGUCUGCGGGGAAGAUUUAACGGGGCUAAGCACAGAACCGAAGCUUGGGGUGCAUACUUUGUAUGCGCGGUAGAGGAGCGUUCCGUAAGCCGUUGAAGGUGGAUUGAGAAGUCUGCUGGAGGUAUCGGAAGUGCGAAUGCUGACAUGAGUAACGAUAAUGCGGGUGAAAAACCCGCACGCCGAAAGCCCAAGGUUUCCUUGCGCAACGUUAAUCGGCGCAGGGUGAGUCGGCCCCUAAGGCGAGGACGAAAGUCGUAGUCGAUGGGAAGCAGGUUAAUAUUCCUGCACCUCGCGUAAGUGCGAUGGAGGGACGGAGAAGGUUAGGUGUACCAGGCGUUGGUUGUCCUGGGGAAAGGCGGUAGGUUUGGAUCUUUGGCAAAUCCGGGAUCCUCUAAGACCGAGCACCGAGACGAGCCUUUAUGGCGAAGUCACUGAUACCACGCUUCCAGGAAAAGCUCCUAAGCUUCAGCUUACGCAGACCGUACCGUAAACCGACACAGGUGGGUAGGAUGAGAAUUCUCAGGCGCUUGAGAGAACUCGGGUGAAGGAACUAGGCAACAUGGCACCGUAACUUCGGGAGAAGGUGCACCCUUUUUGGUGGCUCGUGCGAGCUAUAGCUGAAGAGGGUCGCAGUAACCAGGCCGCUGCGACUGUUUAUCAAAAACACAGCACUCUGCAAACACGAAAGUGGACGUAUAGGGUGUGACGCCUGCCCGGUGCUGGAAGGUUAAUUGAUGGGGUCAGCCGCAAGGCGAAGCUCUUGAUCGAAGCCCCAGUAAACGGCGGCCGUAACUAUAACGGUCCUAAGGUAGCGAAAUUCCUUGUCGGGUAAGUUCCGACCUGCACGAAUGGCGUAACGACAGCGGCGCUGUCUCCACCCGAGACUCAGUGAAAUUGAAAUCGCUGUGAAGAUGCAGCGUUCCCGUGGCAAGACGGAAAGACCCCGUGAACCUUUACUAUAGCUUUACACUGAACGUUGAGUUCGUCUGUGUAGGAUAGGUGGGAGGCUAUGAAACCAUGGCGCUAGCUGUGGCGGAGCCAUCCUUGAAAUACCACCCUGUCGUGCUUGACGUUCUAACCUGGGCCCAUUAUCUGGGUCGGGGACCGUGUAUGGUGGGUAGUUUGACUGGGGCGGUCUCCUCCUAAAGAGUAACGGAGGAGCUCGAAGGUACGCUCAGCGCGGUCGGACAUCGCGCACUGUGUGCAAAGGCAUAAGCGUGCUUGACUGCAAGAUCGACGGAUCAAGCAGGUAGGAAACUAGGACUUAGUGAUCCGGUGGUUCUGUAUGGAAGGGCCAUCGCUCAACGGAUAAAAGGUACUCCGGGGAUAACAGGCUGAUACCGCCCAAGAGUUCAUAUCGACGGCGGUGUUUGGCACCUCGAUGUCGGCUCAUCACAUCCUGGGGCUGUAGUCGGUCCCAAGGGUAUGGCUGUUCGCCAUUUAAAGUGGUACGCGAGCUGGGUUCAGAACGUCGUGAGACAGUUCGGUCCCUAUCUGCCAUGGGCGUUGGAGAUUUGAGAGGGGCUGCUCCUAGUACGAGAGGACCGGAGUGGACGAACCUCUGGUGUUCCGGUUGUCACGCCAGUGGCAUUGCCGGGUAGCUAUGUUCGGAAGCGAUAACCGCUGAAAGCAUCUAAGCGGGAAGCGCGCCUCAAGAUGAGAUCUCCCGGGGCACAAGCCCCCUGAAGGAACCAUGUAGACUACGUGGUUGAUAGGUCAGGUGUGUAAGUACAGCAAUGUAUUGAGCUAACUGAUACUAAUGAUCCGUGCGGCUUGACC